UGGGGAAUUUUGGACAAUGGGCGAAAGCCUGAUCCAGCAAUGCCGCGUGUGUGAAGAAGGCCUUCGGGUUGUAAAGCACUUUUGUCCGGAAAGAAAUCCUUGGCUCUAAUACAGUCGGGGGAUGACGGUACCGGAAGAAUAAGCACCGGCUAACUACGUGCCAGCAGCCGCGGUAAUACGUAGGGUGCAAGCGUUAAUCGGAAUUACUGGGCGUAAAGCGUGCGCAGGCGGUUUGCUAAGACCGAUGUGAAAUCCCCGGGCUCAACCUGGGAACUGCAUUGGUGACUGGCAGGCUAGAGUAUGGCAGAGGGGGGUAGAAUUCCACGUGUAGCAGUGAAAUGCGUAGAGAUGUGGAGGAAUACCGAUGGCGAAGGCAGCCCCCUGGGCCAAUACUGACGCUCGUGCACGAAAGCGUGGGGAGCAAACAGGAUUAGAUACCCUGGUAGUCCACGCCCUAAAACGAUGUCAACUAGUUGUUGGGGGACUUCAUUUUCCUUAGUAACGUAGCUAACGCGUGAAGUUGACCGCCUGGGGA
rnacentral:rRNA from 1 species